UACGUAGGGACCGAGCGUUGUCCGGAAUCAUUGGGCGUAAAGAGCGUGUAGGCGGCCACUUAAGUCCUGCGUGAAAUCUUGCGGCUCAACCGCAAGCGGUCGUGGGAAACUGGGUGGCUAGAGUGCGGGAGAGGAGAGUGGAAUUCCUGGUGUAGCGGUGGAAUGCGCAGAUAUCAGGAAGAACACCCGUGGCGAAGGCGGCACUCUGGGACGGUACUGACGCUGAGACGCGAAAGCGUGGGGAGCAAACGGG
rnacentral:rRNA from 1 species